UAACUGAGCCUUGGAGGAGAAAUCCCUCAAGUGGAAGCUCUCAAACUCAGGGAAACCUAAAUCUGGUCACAGACAUGGCAAUCCUGAGCCAAGCCCAAAAAUUUGAGAUUUGCGAUUUGAGGUUUGCGAUUAGUCUUCAAUUCAAAAUCCAAAAUUGCGGGAAGGUGCAGAGACCCGACGGGAGCUACCCUAACGUUAAGUCGAGGGUAAAGGGAGAGUCCAAUUUUCAAAACCUGACCUUGUUAAAGUCAUCAGGUAGCAG
rnacentral:ncRNA from 1 species